ensembl:lncRNA
CUUUCUGUUGGAUUUAACUCUCUUCUUAUUGCUUUUUAAAUAGGAAGAGGUUGAGCCUGAUGUUUCCUAUAAAAUUGAAAAUUUCUAACAAAGUAGGCUAUUGUAGGAACAAAGUCAAAACCACUGUAUAUUUGUACUUUUAGAAUAAUAAAGUAGUUUGUUGUUAAAUUGAUGACACUGUGUAUUGUAUAUCAUAGUGCUGUUUUAUAAUUCUGCUAAGGCCUGGUAAAAGAUCUGCAGUCCUGUGUUGAGAGAAGACUGUGUUCUCAUGAAGAACAGAAGAGAUAGUCUGAUAAGAUGAGCCUGUUCCUCCAAGCUCAGUAGCUGUGACUUCAGAUUUUGUGGUAUUUCCAGUCAAUGAAAUGGCAAGGAAAAGGCAACAAGAAGACUUGCAUGGCAGAAGGAAAAGUCUCUCAAGGACAAGUCAACGUGGUAUUAAAAGAGUGAUUCAAGUUGGAGGCUCUUUUGCUCUACAAAGGACAUCAAAGUGUAGUCUAUCCCAGGGUAUUUCUUCUUCAGCCUUUCUCUCAUUCACCUGAAAAAAAGAAAUAUUUUUCCCAGUUUACAAAAACUACAUAUAUUCAUUGUAGAAAACUUAGGAAAUAUGGACAAUUAUAAAGAACAAAAUAAGAAGUACCUGUAUAUAUGUCAAAGAUAACUUCUCAAAUUGGUAAGAAUGAUGUUGAACUUUUGAGUGAAAGAAAACUCAAUAUAAGAGUGGCAAGUUGGAUGAACAUUUCUUUCUCUCUCAUAUUAAAAAAAUAUUCAAGGGUAAGCAAUCCAGGGAUAUGUUGGCUCCAUGACCACCAG